ACUUUCCUUGUCAUGGGGUGGUAUUGGACACUCAAUGAACGUGUAGUGAGAGUAUCCAUGCUAACACCAUAUCAACACAUACGCAUCACCUGAAUCUCGUAUUUGGGCUAUGGUGCAAUUUUUGGAAAC